rnacentral:lncRNA from 1 species
CCCUUUUAUCCCAGGUGCCAAUAGCAACCGGGACAAAAGGCCACUCCCUAUUUAUCCCGGUUGCAAACUGAAACUGGGAUAAAAGGGUACGUUCCGGGUGAAAAUCGAAAAAUACCCUUUUAUCCCCCGGUUUCAAUUUGCAACUAGGAUAAAAGGGGGCCUUUUAUUCCGGUUGCUAUUCGCACCCGGGACAAAAUCCCCCUUUAAUCCUGAGUUCAAUUACGAAUUGGGAUAAGGGGUACAAGUAACAGUCAUCUUCUACCCCCCCUCCACCCUUCAACACUUAGGCAAAAUUUUCACCGCCGCCAAGAUCCACUCCCGUCCGCCUGUUCUGUCGCCGCCCGUCCGCCUCCCUCACCGUCCAUCGUUCUCCUCGUCGCCCGCCGCCCCGUCCGCCGUCGCUCGUUGCCCCUAGAGCCGUCGCUCGCCGCCCC